rnacentral:rRNA from 1 species
GAUGAACGCUGGCGGCGUGCCUAAUACAUGCAAGUCGAGCGAAGCGGGGACGGGUGAGUAACACGUGGAUAACCUCAUAUAAGACUGGGAUAACUUCGGGAAACCGGAGCUAAACCGGAUACUUAUAGAUGGAUCCGCGCUGCAUUAGCUAGUUGGAAAGGUAACGGCUUACCACGGAAACGAUGCAUAGCCGACCUGAGAGGUUGAUCGGCCACACUGGAACUGAGACACAGUCCAGAAGCCUACGGUUGUCAGCAGUAGGACUUCUUCCGCAAUGGGCGAAAGCCUGACGGAGCAAGGCCGCGUUACUGAUGAAGUUCUUCGGAUCGUAAUACUCUGUCAUUAGGGAAGCGGUACUUAAGCAGAGAGCCACGGCUAACUACGCGCCAGCAGCCGCGGUAAUAC